GCCUUGUCAUAGGUCUUGGGGUCAUCACCAUGAGCCCCAUUUUCCAUGAGGAAUAUUUCCUCUACUUUCUCUUGUAUAGUACCUAAGUACCUUUCAGGAGGACAAAAAAUUUUAGUCGAUCUACGAGGUGGAAGAGGUUGUGUUAGGACUGGUUCUAAUUGAUUAGGUUCCUCAGGUUCUUUAGCUCGUUGCUCUUGGGAGACAUUCUCCUUGAGCUUAAUU
rnacentral:lncRNA from 1 species